GGUUCCGCUGUAGGUUUCUCGCCAUAGCUUUUUCUCUCUCGGCCGCUUAGCCGAUGCUUCUCCAACGACGGGCGCGUUGCAAGUCAAGGUAAGAAAAAAGCUAGGCUCAGGUGAAAAAAAAGACGAAAGAAGAGAGGCUCAGGUGAAAAAAAAGAGUGGCUCAGAAUUAUCUAUCAGAUUAUCUGCCGCUUAGCUGGCUUCUCCAACUGCAUUGAGCGCGACGGAAGAAAAAGCUAAGGUAGGAAAGAAGAGAGGCUCAGGUGAAAAAAAAGAGUGGCUCAGAAUUAUCUACCAGGUUAUCUGUCAUUUAAUUCCUUCAGAGAGGAAUUCCCAGAUAGCAUUUUUCAUCAUUGCCAUCUGCCAAGAGAGUUGAACCUCGUACUACCUCCUCAGAAGCAGAACGAGCUAACGGCAGCUCAACGUUGGUGUUAACAAAAUUUUGGUAAGUUAAAAAGAAGGAAAAAUCCAACUCACCAUCUAUUUAUUUUUUUUUGUAGAAAACUCGAGACGAGAGAUUUUUCAAAAGGCUAAAAUGCGAGCUCACGGGACUGGAGGUCAAAGGCAGUCCUCUUUUUCCUUCCCUAGAAGCCUGACGUUGCAAUCGUUUACUGGCAGGGGGAUCAUGUACACGUUUUCCGCGGAGCGAUCCUUGUAUAUGUUCUAUGCGGGUGCGUACUUUGUUCUUCGAAUCAUCACUGGAGGUGCUGCUGCUCAAGCGGACCUCUGUUGGUAUCUUCUUUUGAACAAGGGAUGAGACUGCUCCAUACCAUAUGAUAGGUGCAGGGGGAUUUGCAGCCAUAUGGUCCAAAGUGAGUUGUCGAGAAUGGAUCCUCAAAGACCUGAGAAAGGCCAAGGACCUCGUGAACUUGGUCAAACGUUCGAAAGACCAAGGAUCCUCGCGAUCAGUAGCACGAAAGAGUGGAUCCACCGCGACCUUGUUUCCGCGUAUGGUGAGCACUGGCGAGAAGAGCUGAAGGUGGCAGGACCUUCUUUCUGCUGGCACUCAGCUGCGAUCCAAGAAAUACCCCGACUCCCGCUGUAUCCAGAUGGCCAGGAUUAGCAGCGAGCAAACCCGAAGAUGUAAUAUAUUAUAUUAUUUUUCCAAAACUAAUUAAGAAUGCUGCGCUUGCAGUGAAGAGCUAAUCUGAAUCUCUUGAGACGCUGCUGCCACUCUCGCCACCGCCGCGGCUCCUCUGCUUGAGCUUCGCACACCCUGGACCGCGCUCGCACUCACAGCUCGUAGUCCCGAGAUGGUAAACUCCGGUGAUUGAAAUUUUUUUCACAAACGUGGGCAAGUGACGUGGCAAUCUUGGCUAUGUGGCAAGUAUUGAUGUGCCACAUCACUUGCCACAUACACGCUCUCCCCUCGCGACGGAGCUGAG
rnacentral:lncRNA from 1 species